CAUGCAAGUCGAACGAUGAAGCCCUUCGGGGUGGAUUAGUGGCGAACGGGUGAGUAACACGUGGGCAAUCUGCCCUCCACUUCGGGACAAGCCCUGGAAACGGGGUCUAAUACCGGAUAGCACUUCCACUCUCCUGGGUGGGGGUUGAAAGCUCCGGCGGUGGAGGAUGGGCCCGCGGCCUAUCAGCUGGUUGGUGAGGUAACGGCUCACCAAGGCGACGACGGGUAGCCGGCCUGAGAGGGCGACCGGCCACACUGGGACUGAGACACGGCCCAGACUCCUACGGGAGGCAGCAGUGGGGAAUAUUGCACAAUGGGCGCAAGCCUGAUGCAGCGACGCCGCGUGGGGGAUGACGGCCUUCGGGUUGUAAACCUCUUUCAGCAGGGAAGAAGCCUCACGGUGACGGUACCUGCAGAAGAAGCGCCGGCUAACUACGUGCCAGCAGCCGCGGUAAUACGUAGGGUGCAGGCGUUAAUCGGAAUUACUGGGCGUAAAGCGUGCGCAGGCGGUUUGCUAAGACAGGUGUGAAAUCCCCGGGCUUAACCUGGGAACUGCGCUUGUAACUGGCAAGCUAGAGUGUGGCAGAGGGGGGUGGAAUUCCACGUGUAGCAGUGAAAUGCGUAGAUAUGUGGAGGAACACCAGUGGCGAANGCGACUUUCUGGCCUAUAACUGACGCUGA
rnacentral:rRNA from 1 species